ensembl:lncRNA
CUUUUCUCCCUAAGAAGAGGAAGGGGCGUGUGAGGUGGAGAAAUGGAAAGAAAAUGAGAGGUCAGGUGAAUUAAUUGCCCACAGCCAGAUCCCCCGUCAGCCUCCCGGUACCAUCCAGCACCUUGAUAGUCAAUCAGAGAGACCUGACGGAAGCAUGGCCCCUGGACAUUCUCGGGUUUCAUUUAUCAACUUGUCAACCUCAUGGAAACGGACCAUCUGAUGGUCUUUUGCCGGACCUCUGAUGGGUUCCGCAAAAGCCUGGCCCUACUGCCACCUCUGCUUAAGACCAUCAUCAUCUUAUCCGGAUGACGGCAGUGGCUUCCUAACUGCCCUUUUACAAUCCAGGUUGAUCUUUUCAGGACUCAAAUGUUUUAAGUACAUGUUUUAAAUCAUGUACUUACUACCCAGUGCAUUCAGGAUAAAAUGCCAGCUCUAAAACCCUGGUAUACAGAGCUUUGCCUUUCAUACAAAGCUCCCUCACGUGGCCUGGGAACUGCUCCUCUUGCUCUCACUGCCUCCCCAGGUACCACACUGAUAAUACUGUAAGGUCUGUUUCCUUGCCUGACUUUCUCCAGAAGCUGGAGCUCUUUAAGAGCAAGGAUGUAGCAUGGCUCACUCAACACCCAUACCAAACCCUUCCUAGCUAGACUUCCUUACAGCUGGUGGUGUAGGAAAUGUGAUCUAAGUUCCAUCAAGCAAGUAUACCCAUAGGAGACCUCCACAG